rnacentral:rRNA from 1 species
AACAUAAAAGUGGAGGCUAUUGUAACUGAAGAGAACUGGAAAGUUCCACCGUAGAAGGUAAUAGUCCUGUAAGUGAAACGAGAAGACCACGAGUUAUGAUCCAGAGUACCACGAGACACGUGAAACCUUGUGGGAAGCAGGGAGGACCACCUCCCAAGGCUAAAUACUACCUGAUGACCGAUAGUGAAGCAGUACCGUGAGGGAAAGGUGAAAAGAACCCCGGGAGGGGAGUGAAAUAGAACCUGAAACCGUGUGCCUACAACCGCUCAGAGCCCCUUAUGAGGGUGAUGAGGUGCUUUUUGUAGAACGAGCCAACGAGUUACGGUAUGUAGCAAGGUUAAGUACUUAAGGUACGGAGCCGAAGGGAAACCGAGUCUGAAUAGGGCGACUAGUUGCAUGCCGUAGACCCGAAACCGGGUGACCUAUCCAUGGCCAGGUUGAAGCGAGGGUAAAACCUCGUGGAGGACCGAACCACGUUGCUGUUGAAAAAGCAUGGGAUGAGCUGUGGAUAGCGGAGAAAUUCCAAUCGAACCCGGAGAUAGCUGGUUCUCUCCGAAAUAGCUUUAGGGCUAGCGUCGAGUAUGAGUAGUGGAGGUAGAGCACUGAAUGGGCUAGGGGGCAUAGCGCUUACCGAACCUUAUCAAACUCCGAAUGCCACAUACUUUGAGCUCGGCAGUCAGACUACGAAUGAUAAGAUCCGUGGUCAAAAGGGAAACAGCCCAGAUCGUCAGCUAAGGUCCCAAAGUGUAAGUUAAGUGGGAAAGGAUGUGAGAUUUCUAAGACAACUAGGAUGUUGGCUUAGAAGCAGCCAUUCAUUAAAAGAGUGCGUAAUAGCUCACUAGUCGAGAGAUCUUGCGCCGAAAAUGUAACGGGGCUAAACUUACCACCGAAGCUACGGGCUUGAACUUAGUUCAAGCGGUAGGAGAGCGUCGUAACCGGGCUGAAGUCGUACCGUAAGGAGCGGUGGACUGGUUACGAGUGAGAAUGUUGGCAUCAGUAGCGAGAUGUGGGUGAGAAUCCCACAGGCCGAAAACCUAAGGUUUCCUCAGGAAGGUUCGUCCGCUGAGGGUUAGUCGGGACCUAAGCCGAGGCCGAAAGGCGUAGGUGAUGGACAACUGGUUGAUAUUCCAGUACCACUACCAUCGUUAUUAUCGAUGGCGUGACGCAGGAGGAUAGUGUGUGCUAGCUAUUGGAUGCUAGUCUAAGCGUUUAGGCAGUGAGAGUAGGCAAAUCCGCUCUCAUAAUGCUGAGGCGUG